ACGCACGCUGGCGGCGUGCUUAACACAUGCAAGUCGAACGGAAAGGCCCUGCUUUUGUGGGGUGCUCGAGUGGCGAACGGGUGAGUAACACGUGAGUAACCUGCCCUUGACUUUGGGAUAACUUCAGGAAACUGGGGCUAAUACCGGAUAGGAGCUCCUGCUGCAUGGUGGGGGUUGGAAAGUUUCGGCGGUUGGGGAUGGACUCGCGGCUUAUCAGCUUGUUGGUGGGGUAGUGGCUUACCAAGGCUUUGACGGGUAGCCGGCCUGAGAGGGUGACCGGCCACAUUGGGACUGAGAUACGGCCCAGACUCCUACGGGAGGCAGCAGUGGGGAAUAUUGCACAAUGAGCGGAAGCCUGAUGCAGCAACGCCGCGUGCGGGAUGACGGCCUUCGGGUUGUAAACCGCUUUCGCCUGUGACGAAGCGUGAGUGACGGUAAUGGGUAAAGAAGCACCGGCUAACUACGUG
rnacentral:rRNA from 1 species